rnacentral:rRNA from 1 species
AUUGCAGAAUUCAGGUGAAUCAUCGAAUCUUUGAACGCACAUUGCGCCCCUUGGUAUCCCGAGGGGCAUGCCUGUUCGAGCGUCAUU